UACGUAGGGUGCAAGCGUUGUCCGGAAUUAUUGGGCGUAAAGAGCUCGUAGGCGGUUUGUCGCGUCUGCUGUGAAAACUCGGGGCUUAACUCCGGGCCUGCAGUGGGUACGGGCAGACUAGAGUGCGGUAGGGGAGACUGGAAUUCCUGGUGUAGCGGUGAAAUGCGCAGAUAUCGGGAGGAACACCUGUGGCGAAAGCGGCGCACUGGACCACAACUGACGCUGAGGCGCGAAAGCUAGGGGAGCAAACAGG
rnacentral:rRNA from 1 species